rnacentral:lncRNA from 1 species
AGACGACCUCAGCAUAGAACCAGGACCCCUUGACAGAGACAUUGCCAUUCUGGGCACUCCACACCCAAGCCAGUUCAUCCAAAUCACCCAGUAAAGCUGUGCUCUGAAGAAACUACCUGUUGCACCAAACUCCUUACCUUACCGGACACACAGCGAUGGCCAGCGUAGAAUGAGGCCGUGGGAGGAUCUUAAUGACACAGUCCACUCUGCAAACCAGGGUCCACAAAGCAGCAGUGGUGGGGAGCACUGCGGUGGGAGCAGCUGCAGAGGAUGGCAGAGUCUUUCCUGCGGGAUUCUGGAAUAUUGUGUCCUCUCUGGAAGAGAGACAAGGAGUGAGGUUACAAAACACUUGUGCUCUCCCGGACCCACAAUCCAUCAGGAGGGGUACGCUGGCUGCCUGGUAACCACGCCAUUUCCUGAAUUCGCAGACCUCUUUAACACCAUCCAAACAUUAGAAAGGUGGGUGGCCACACCUGUUUUGUGCACUUCCUGAUAAUCUCAUUUUGAUUUAAGUAUUUAUUAGGAAGCAAAGUAAAAGACUAUUUGCACUAUAAAUUGCAGAUAUUUAUGUGUAAUCCCCAAUAAAUGGGAAUUUCAUGGGAAAAGGUGGAAACUCGAAAGGGCUUGAGCGGUUGCUGCAGUGCCCAGGGGAGUUUGCUGUUGCCCGGGCUGACUCCGUGAGUCCAGCUCUCUCCUUGGAGAAAGGGAGCUACUGGGGAGUCGAAUGCCAUGGUGGCCAAGGGCCGGGCAGCAGAUCUCAGAGAUCUUCACGUGAAUCUUGUUAUUACCAGACGUGGAUAAUUGAUUCUCCCUUAACUGUAUUAAUAGUUCCCUUAUCUGUGAAAGAAGUAACUCAUGGCUUUGUUGGGAGGAUUAAAUGAGAUUAGUGAAGGGUUUAGUACAGCAUAUAUUUUGCACUCAGUAAGUGAUCAUUGCUAUUUUGCCCUAUUGUUUCAAAACACCAUCCAUUCCCAUGAUACAAAUAGUGCAAGCGUAGGA